UGAGAGAAAAGGCAAGAACGAGCGGCGGAAGACGGUUUGCUCCGAAUCUACAUUGAGAAGAGUUGAAGAGCGGCCGGAUCUGCAAGAUUGCAGAAGAAUCGAACUUGCUCAAGACGAUUGCACCACUAUCCACCGCUAGAUCUAGAAAAGUUCCCAGCAAGAUUGCACAAUUUCAAGAAUGGCCACCGCUUAUUUCUGGGCGGUUGAUUCAAGCAAUUGAUGAGAUGACCCUCUGUAGCCGUGGCUUGAACAAAGAGAACCAAGAAGGCUGGUAUUGUCGGGAAGUAUGGUGAAGAAGGAUUUUCUGUAACUUUGUGUUUGGGGACUGCAGAUUGUAUAGGACUGGAGCCAAAAGACAGUUUUGUAAAUUGUUGCGAAAAGAAUCUAGAUCCUAGAAUAAGAUUCUCUAUUUUCAUAUCACUUGUGUUCAAGACUUGACGCAUAUCGUGUCAGGCUGACAACAACAACAACAAGAGUGACUUGCAUCCGCUGCUUUGAGAACUAGUCAUAGCAAUUGGUCAGCUUUUCCAAACCAUAGGGAGGAUUUAAGUAGGGAAGACGUCCAGACUUCAAAUAGAGGCAGUGAGGAGACUUCGUACU
rnacentral:lncRNA from 1 species